rnacentral:misc_RNA from 1 species
GCACAAGCCCCUUUCUUUGCCCUUCACCUUUCAGGGCUGGCUGGCAAGGCAAGUUAACCUUGGUUAGAGUUCUAUUGAUUCUUUCGGCAUAGAAGGAAUCCUGGUAAGUUCAUCUGAAAAACGAAUUCCAUGCUCUAUUAUAUUUUAUUUUUUAGCAAAUUAUAAAAUAUAUCAGUAGUAUUGUUUUCUUACUUAUUAUUCACAAUUUAUGAAAUUAAAAUUUUGUACUCUGAAUGCGUCCAAUAUUUUUUGGAUUUUUCGAUGGUCAAAGGAGUGAAUGGACAUUCCUUUGUAUCCCAACUGUUGCAAACUUUCUCCAUGCUUUAGAACAGCUCUGCAUGUUCUCUCUGAAAAGAAAAUUUCAGCACAGUAAUAUCAAAAUAAGUUUAUGCAUAACACCUCUACAUUACUACUUACCCAUCUUGUGAUAUGCCAUUCCUCUCCCAGGAGCCAUUUCAGUUGAGAAUACAUAAUAAAGAGAAGAAUAUUCAAUGUUCCAGGAGCAAAUGCUCCUCCACAUACACAGGAUCUACGUUCUUUACUUUAAAGAAUACAUACAAGUUUGUAAGCAUGACGUGUACUAUUUUUUAGUGCAUCAUCAGGAGUAUGUUAUAAUUCAUUUUUGGUAUUGAGUUCAGCAUAUCCUUAGAUGUUCUUCUCAAAUUACACACAAGGCAGAUUUAUCCUUGCACUGAAAUUGCAACUUCAUAAAUUCCAUCAUCAUGAUUAGCAUGCGAUCAACAUUCUUGUGUACUUUCUUCAAAUUAAUCCUAACAACUCAAGUUCAAAGAUCGUACGCAUAAAUUCUGUUACAUACGCAUCAGUCAAUAUAUGCAGGAUUUUUUCUAGAACAUGAAACAAGUAAUAAAAGAGAAAUAUAUAUGACAGAGAAAAUCAAAUAAAACCCAGUCUUGCAUGAUCCCAAAUGAGUACAGGCUCCUGCAACUUAUUAACUAAUAUGUCUUCCACACAAGUUAUUGGAUAUGUUGAUGAUUCAUCAGAACAUAAUAUUGUGUGUCAUACAACUUCACGGAGUACAGUCAACAAUGAGGGAUAUCACUUGAUCAAAGAUGGUUGAGCCAUAGAUCAAGAUACUUGGGAGCAAGGAGGAAAUGUGCUUAAAAUAAUACCCUUUCAAAUAUGACAACAAACACGGAAUCAGUGGACACAUCACAUGGCAACAAGAGCAGGAAGUCUACCUGGCAAUCAAUGCUGUCUUAUAGCCGAUCACUGAAGUAAACUUAGAGUUGCCUGUUGUGGAGAAUGAACCAAAUGGAGGUUUGGAUGGGUUCUAAGCCUUUUCACCAUGCCAACAACGUUCUUCAUUGCUUCCAUCUCCCUCUCUAGAUGAACAUUGUCCUCUUUCAGCAUAAUUUCCUUGUUGUGGAGGGCCUUUAUAAAAUCCAACAUCAGUUCUGUCUUUUUGGCUCUGAUUUGUGUCAAUGCGGCAGCAAAUUGAUUCUCCAAUUUGAUAAGAUCAGUCACACUAAGCUGCUCACAAUUUGGCCCUUCAAGCUGCGUUUCAACUAUUUGCAGUAGCUCUGUAUAUGACUUAGAGCUUGAAUAAUCCACUUGAUAGCUCUUUGUAUCAUUUGCACCUUUGACAGAAGCAGCUUCCACUUCAAGAUGCCUCUGGUAUUCUUUUAAAAAAUUGGCCAUACUGCCAGAGCUACAGAAUUCAUAUAGCUUGCCGCUGUUGGAGAAGACGAUUACACCGAUUUGAACAUCGCAGAGAACGGUGAGUUCGCGAGCCUUCUUGAUUAAUCCGUUUCGUCUCUUGGAGAAAGUCACUUGACGGCUGCUUUUGUCUUCGAUUCGCUUCAUCUCCACCUUCUUCCGCCCCAUGCUCGAUCAAAAUUCCUGCCCAAUUUGCAAGAGGAAAAGCAGAAGAGAAGUGUGAAGAAAAAAGUGAAAUGGGAUAGAUACCUGUUGGGACUGCAUUUAAAAAUGUAGUGGACUAUGGAAGGUCGG